rnacentral:rRNA from 1 species
GACGAACCGUGCGAACGUUGUUCGGAAUCACUGGGCUUAAAGGGCGCGUAGGCGGACUGCCAAGUCCGGGGUGAAAUCCUCCGGCUUAACCGGAGAAUUGCCUGGGAUACUGGCGGUCUUGAGGGAGGUAGGGGCACGCGGAACUUCCGGUGGAGCGGUGAAAUGCGUUGAUAUCGGAAGGAACGCCGGUGGCGAAAGCGGCGUGCUGGCCCUCUUCUGACGCUGAGGCGCGAAAGCUAGGGUAGCGAAAGGG